AGAACGAACGCUGGCGGCAUGCCUAACACAUGCAAGUCGAACGUGAUCCAGGCUUCGGCCUGGUGAAAGUGGCAGACGGGUGAGUAACGCGUGGGAACCUGCCCUGUGGUAGGGAAUAACCGUGGGAAACUGCGGCUAAUACCUUAUGAGUCCUUCGGGAGAAAGAUUUAUCGCCAUAGGAGGGGCCCGCGUCGGAUUAGGUAGUUGGUGGGGUAACGGCCUACCAAGCCUUCGAUCCGUAGCUGGUCUGAGAGGAUGAUCAGCCACACUGGGACUGAGAUACGGCCCAGACUCCUACGGGAGGCAGCAGUGGGGAAUAUUGGACAAUGGGGGCAACCCUGAUCCAGCAAUGCCGCGUGGAUGAUGAAGGCCUUCGGGUUGUAAAGUCCUUUCGGCGGGGAAGAUGAUGACGGUACCGCAGAAGAAGCCCGGCUAACUUCGUGCCAGCAGCCGC
rnacentral:rRNA from 1 species